GGAGGGGUGGCCGAGUGGUCGAAGGCAGCGGUUUUGAAAACCGCCGUACCUUUACGGGUACCAGGGGUUCGAAUCCCUUCCCCUCCG
rnacentral:tRNA from 1 species